rnacentral:tRNA from 1 species
UAGCUCAGUCAGUUGAGCGUGGCGCUAACAAUGCCAAGGACGCAGGUUCGAUUCCGGU